rnacentral:rRNA from 1 species
UACAGAGGGUGCGAGCGUUAAUCGGAAUUACUGGGCGUAAAGGAUGCGUAGGUGGUUAUGUAAGUUAGGUGUGAAAUUCCUGGGCUUAACCUGGGGACUGCGCCUGAUACUGUGUAGCUAGAGUACUGUAGAGGAAAGUGGAAUUUCCGGUGUAGCGGUGAAAUGCGUAGAUAUCGGAAGGAACAUCAGUGGCGAAGGCGACUUUCUGGACAGCUACUGACACUGAGGCACGAAAGCAUGGGGAGCAAACAGG